AUCACAUUGAACACUCGUGAACUUUGUGCUAAUGUAUAACCAUACAGUCUACUAAACUUCCAUGUGUGUCAGUGUCACCCAUUUUCCAUAAUCAUUAAAUAAUAUGAUUCAGAAACUUAACAACAGUUUGGCCAAAGUUUUCUGCUGAUGGAUACUGUAUUUUGCAACACCAAUGAGUGAUGACAAUAGAUAAUCACAUAACCUGUUGGCUUGGAAUAUGAAGUUAAACAUCUAACAUUGUAAUAUAAUUUGUAUUGGCAAGGAAACCUCCAUAACCAUAAAGAAAUGUUUAUAGUUGAGGCAUUCUUCAACUUUGAUUUGUCUACAACAAAUAGCUCACCACACAACCCACAAGAAUACACUAGCAAAAUGCUGAAAAUUUCUUCGUUUGUUCACUAAUAAAUUUCACCUGAGGAAUUGCUAUAGAGUAAUGUAUCUUAGUUUGACAUACCUCUUCAAAACUUCAUUACCACUUUAUAAAAACAGUAUUUACAAAUUUCUAUUUUGAAAAUUCAACAGAACAAUCAUUAAAUGAAUCAGUGUAAACUCAGUGAGCACAAGUCUGCAAAAACUACAGUGGCACAGCUAGCAGAAUCUCUUUCAGGUUAAGCAACCCAAGUCAUUCCAAAGCUUGGGAGGUUAUCUGUAUGGAGUUUGUACAUUCCGUCUGAGUAGCCCUUAAAUACACUAGCUUCAUCCCACAAGGCAAGGACCUGCAAUUGAUAGGUUAAUUGGCCACCGUAAGCUGCCAUUGAUGUACAAGUGAGUCGUAGAAUCUGAGGGGGCACAGGGAAAUUGUUGUAAAUGGAUGUCCUUUAGUCAGCACAGACUCAGUAGGCUGGAGGAUCUUUUUUCUGUCACUAUGAACUCAGCAGUGGCAGGUUUUGAGAGACGUAGGCAGAGGCGGAGUACGAUAGCACUAGAUUGUGAGUCCUUCCUGUUCAUCAACCAAAAGUUUAAUUUCUGCUUUUGAUGACUCUCCUUUUCAGGGCGGAUGGGUUCUGUUGAAGACCCUGUCUUGGCAUUACACUCGGGCUUUGGACCUGCUCUAGGGCCUCACCACCAGCCGCUUUCCAGUAUCCCAAAAAGGUGAGCACGCCUUCGAAAUCCCCAGGUCUUGCGGCCCUGGAGAAGGGCUGAUUCUGAGUCGGUGCUGCUGACAGAAGUGUCGUGGGAGAGAACAGAACAUCGGGAACAGCGGAUCAGCUGUCGGAGGCUCUGUACUCGGCGAAUUGUUCCCUCUCCCUCUCUCAUGGCUUAGAGACGAUUGCCGAUUCUCCGGGCAGAGCACUCAAGAGAAAAAAAAAAUGGAGCAACCGAUUUUCAACACCUUAAAUCAAACAGGGGGCUGAAGGUGGGGUCCCUGCAGUGGAAGAUCUCAUCCAAAGCUGCAAGUAGAAGUGGUUUAAGCCUCUAAGGCAGCAGCAGAAUCCGAACAGAUGAUGACCCUGCAUGGUCGAGAGUCUUCUAUCCACCAUAAGGCCCAGAGGAUUGCUAAUCAUUCUGUUGCAAAGACAGAAACACCACCUGAAACCCGGUGACUAAUCUCAACUCCAAGCUGAGACACAUAUGUCCCAAAUCCUGCCUUACCGCCCACUGAGCCAUCUGUAAAAAUCUUCAGGAAUACUGAGUUUGCACAUCUGACUUCAGGUACAACUGAGUCCAGCCACCUGCAGAAGUUUUCGGAUGAUUCGGCAUGCUGAGUAUAGAAGAGUGGUGGGCAACUUUGCUGAGUGGUGAGCUGAAUCACCUGCAGCUCAACAUCAUUAAGACAUAGCAGCUGGUGGUAGAUAUCGGUGAAAACACCUGCAUUUCCACUUCCAUAGAGGAAACGGAUGUGGAAGUUGUCCAAGAAAAGACUACAAAUACUUGGGAAUUCACUUGGAAAUUCAGCUGGACAAUAAACUGGGAUGGACUAAAUUGAGACUCUGUACAAGAGGCAAAGCCAACUGGCUUUCCUGAGGAGGGUUCAUUCAAGAGCCAUUCGACGUCUACAGGACUAUGCUGCAGAUGUCCUAUGACUUGAUGGCCAACAUUCUAUUCUGUGCUGUAAUCUUCAGGGGCAGCAGGUUGAGAGCAGCUGACAACAAAAAGCUCUCAGCUCAUCAGGACGGCUGGCUCUGUUCUGGGGGUGGAACUGGAUUUGCAGAUGGUUGUGCCUGAGAGGAGGAUGCUGCAGAAGCUAUGGAGCAUCCCUCUCACCCCCUCCAUGACGUGCUGGACAAACAGAGGAGCAACUUCAGUAACAGGCUGAUUCCACUGAAGUACAAGGAGAUCCUUUCUCCCUGUGGCUAUAAGACUCUACACCUCCUCAGGUGUAUAAGUAUAUGGUUUCAUUGCAUGUCUGUAUUUUGCACUAUUACAAACGUACACUUUAAUGUACAUUUUGUA